rnacentral:lncRNA from 1 species
UAAUGCAGCACAUAUUGUAACAUUUAAAAGGAACCAGCAACUUAGAAAGAGAAAAAUAUCAUAUGACACCAUCGACAAUAAAAUAUUACUUAACAAUUCAAGGGUCUGCCCUUAUCCACUUAAGCUAGAAUGAACAUGCACACGGGCUGAACUUGGUCCAUACAAAAUAAAAAAUCUAUAGCAGCUCAACCUAUGAAAAAGAAACAGGUUUGUGUCUUGGUUCAUACAAAGCUAUGACAGCAAUAAGGUAUAAGUAGUUAAGUGCAGCAUCAGACAGCCUGUACAAACAUGUAGCUGAGUACACUAAAAAUUGGAGGUACUCGCAGGAGGGAUGGACUCAACUUGCUAUGAACCUUGACAAAAAUGUGCCUCAGAGCUACUGACCCCUGUUUCAAGUAACCCACAACUCCAGUAAAUGUGAUACAUAACCUGGUCAACAGCUCCCUGACCAAUGGUCAGCUUAAGCCCUACAAGAAUACCACAGCAAAAAGUGUCGAAAAAUACAAUACCACCCCCCCCCCUCCCCGGGAACACAUAUUGCUAUCCUAAUCAUAUGGCGAACGGCCCACACUGACAUUAGCACUUGUGAACGGCCCACACUGACAGUAGUAUCCUAACUGUGAAGGAGUCUGAUUUCUUAAAAGCAGAUACUACUAAGAGAUUAGAAUGCAACAAGACAAUGUAGCUGUGUCAUCCAUGUUUAUCAACCACAUCAGUAAUAUAAUCCAGUUUCUUAUUAAUUGUGUAAGGGCUAUCUUGCUGUUCAGUUAAAUGAUCCAUGCCACUACAUGCAGUCCCUCUAAUUCAUUGGUGGAAGUAAUUACACAGAACAUGCCCACAAGCUCACUAAACAGCUGACUAAGAAACAAAAUAAAAAUUCAGAGUGGAUUUUAGCUGAAAAAACAACUCAUAAAGCCUGCAAACUUACUUGGGGAAAGCCAGCAAUCAGGGAUAAUGGCACCCAACCUUGGUCAUCCAUGCGUUGCCGCAGGUAUAGGUCCUUACACAGAUUGGCAUCACUGCAAUGGAUCAAGAAAUUGAUCUGAGCAUCUUCACAGUUUUUAUAAAAAAAGGAUUCCCAAAAUGUAGACGAGCUACUACCUGAAAUAAUAUUCUAUCUGCUCCAGAAGACCCUUUCGGAAAGGGUCGAUUAAAACAGCUUGGGGGCUUGCUGGAUGCACAAAAGGCAGGCCUUGAAUGCCUUCCGAGGUGGGUGCCGCAAAAUAGUAAACAUGCGGUGCUAUGUCUGCUAUUUAGAACAAGCAAAUUAAUGUAAUAUAACAAUGGCACAUGCCCAUGAUCUCAUAAACCACAUGCACAAGAACAUACCAGGGAAGCCCAUAGGCGCCCCAUAAGGUGGUGUCUGAGUAGCGGGGCUAACAAAUGGAGGCGGCGGCGGAGGUGCUCCUGCUACAACAGCCAGAGUAGGAGGAGCCCUAAUGUAUGUUGGCUGAUGGCCACGCUGCUGAUGAACUGGUCCAUGCCCAUCUCUGCGUCCACCUCCGCGCCGUUGUCCAUCAAAACCCCCGUGGUGCUCACCCCCACGUCGCCCACCACCUCCACCAUUACCCCUCCUGUUUCCCCCACCAUAGCCACCACCUCGGGCAUGGGGGUGGGAGCCAAAGCGUCCAUUCUGAUGAGGAUCUGCGCCGUUGCUCCGGGCAUUAUUAGGCACAUAAACAGGGGAUGAUUCUGGUGCAGGGGCACUCUUCUCCAGCCCAUCCGCCACAGGCAUCACCAGGGCACGCCGGGCCACAGGAUUGCGCACCGGAGCAUCAUUUCCAGGGUUAGCAUCCGGCGCGCCGGGAUUGCCCAAAGAGGCCGGCGACAUCACCGCCACCUGACACCAUUGCAACAACAGUAAAACCCAAUCUGAUCAAAUGGUACCAAAUUUUCAAGGUCCCUCUAUAUCAAACGCUGGUAUCAACUCACAGUGGAAGCUGGAGAAGCGGCCUUAGGGGACGCCUUGGCCGCUGGCCCCGCAGCCGGCGGCGGCGGAGAGACCAGCCCGGGCAGCGCCGGCCAGGAGUCCGCGUCGAUGAUAGGGUUUUCAACAGCCACCGCGACGGGCACCGUCGCGCCCGCGGGGAGCUUCCAGACGGCGGCCGCCGCCCUAGCCUUCUUCGCCCCGACCGGGCUAUCGGACGGGGGCGUCCCGGCCCCGGCAACGGCCGCAUGCGGGUCGGCGCUGCUAGCCAUCGUCCGCACCCUAGUCCGAUCGGGAGGUAGAGCCUCGAUGGGGUAGCAGGCGAGAGGCGGAGGCGACUGCGGGAACGGCGGCGGCGGAGGCGGGGGUAGAGGGGUGGGGGUGGGGGUGGGAUCGGUCAGUGGUACGGCAUGAGGCGAUCGGUAACAGGGGUUCCAAAUAUUGCCACGAGGCGAGGCGAGGCGAGGCGAGGGCCGGCGAUCGGCGAUCGGAUCGGGGGGAGGAUGGGGGACGGUGCGGCGGCGGGCGGAGCCGGAGCUGGGGCCGAUGCCUCCUGCGACGCUCGCUGCUCUUCCCUUGCCUUGCCUUCCCACGGGGGGCGGUGGAUGGACGCGGACGGGAUCCCUCUCCUGCCUCUAGCCGUGGUGGGCCACAAAAGGGCAAAGCCCGCAGCAACCAGCGUGGGCCCCCCCGCGGCUCCCGUCCGCCCGAUCACAGAUCAGCGGCCGAAACCCGUCCUGGCCCCGCGCCGCUCUAAAGCGGCUCCCGCUGGCGUCCGCUUGGCUACCCUACCCCUCGGGCUGGCUGGCGCGCGGGCCCCGCGCUCGGGGUGCGGCGUUGGAGGUUGUUGACUUGCGUGCGCGGUGGACCGUCCGAUGCGGGGCGGACGGCUGGCUCGCCACGGGAGGUCCGCGUCCGGCGAAAGCGAAAGUUAUUGCGGUGACGCUCGCAAUCCCAGCGGCGGUGGGCGCCUGGGACGAAACGGCAAACCGCCCCGCCCACCGCCCUUUUUGCAAAAGCGCCCUCCACUGUUUCUGGAUUCCAACUUCCACCGCCCUUAGGCCUCGUUUAGUUCCUUCCCGAAAUUUUUUCGGAACAAUGUAGCAGUUUCGUUUGUUUGUGGUAAUUAUUGUUCAAUUAUGGAUUAUCUAGACUCAAAAGACUCAUCUCGUAAAUUUCGACCAAACUGUGUAAUUACUUUUUAUUUUUGUUUAUAUUUAAUACUUAAUGCAUGUGUCUAAAGAUUCGAUGUGACAGGAAAUUUUGAAAAGUUUUUGGAUUUUGGUUGGAAGUAAACAAGGCCUUAUCUGGUUGCCUUUCUAUCACCUCCCAAGGAUAGAGUCGCGGAUCACGGCCUGGUUCACUGUUUUUUUUCGCGGGGCCUUUCUGCACGUCGCAUUUAGUAUCUUGAACCCCAUAUAUUCCACCGAUUCUUUUGAAAAGGAGCGUUUCAGGAUAAAUAAAAACAGAGAGGAUCGACGUGUUACUUUGUCGUGAAUGCGCCAAGAAUCCGUUCAGUUUCUGGCCUCCCCAUUAUUACAGGUGCGGCGUUUUUCCUCGAGAAAAAAACACUAGACGAUCUGCACCGAAUGAGAACCGUGGAUUCAGUCAACAAUUCAACAUUGACAAAUACGGACACGAUCUGAGAAAGAUCCAAUGAGGCACUCACAAUGUAGAUUUUAUCAUAAAGUCUAAAGUUAUUUAUUACCUCGAACAAUGUGGACUUAGAGUCUAAAUAAGACUUGGAGUCUUAUUUUUUCUACCUCUUUCUUCAAUAAAUAUGCUGCCACAUCAGCAAAAUACCAUAAAUAAUAUAUAAUUAAUUGUUUUGGACUCUGUGAUAGAGUCUUGUAUUGUGAGUGCCCUGAGGUUUCCCCAAUGCAUGCUUUUUGCUUGUAGCACCAAAUGUCAUGUAAAAUCGGAUAAAAAAAAUAGAUGCUCUAAACUUAUCAUAUUAGCUUGUAGAAGUUAUAUAUGCUUAGGGAGAGAAAAAAAGGUCCAAGUUUUUUUAAAAAAAGAGAGAGAGAGGAAAUAAAGGUGAGGUAUAAUGAAAUAAAAAGGUUUCUUUGGUUUGCAUUGUGUGAAUAAUAGUCUUAAUAUUUCCUAGCCUAUGUGGAUCACUUUAUUUGUACUAGAACCACUGCAAGUGUUAGACUCCAUCGAUGGUGCCCUGAGUUUGUUGUUCGUCCUCUCCGCUUGUGUACAUAUUGUUUCGCGAGAUUCAUGUCCUGUGCAAUUUGAUUAGAGCGUCUCAUAUCUUAAAAACUGAAUCCUAAAAAUUUAGUUUUAUAAUAACGUUUUCAAUAAAACUAUUGGGCAAAAAGAAAUACACUCCACCAACAAACUCCUUUUUCUUCAUAAAAAAAUUACAUGUCGCCGUCUCCCGUGCGUACAAGACAUCCACCAUAGAUGAAAAUAGUUCACUGCCAUGGCCAGCCAUUCAUGACAAGCUAGUUUAGGCCAUUCUCGGCAACACCCAAAACUUUCAAAAAGGUAGAUUAAUUCAUUGCCUUCUAUCCCUCCAAGUAUUCUCAUAUCUGAGAUAGUGAUCAUAUCUAAUUUCGGUGACCCGUCAGGCCGCAAUAGUGGUCUGAGCCGUGGUCGGCCAUCUUGGCACCAUAACACACGCGCAGAUCCUCCGGCACUGAAAAAUUUUCCAUGAUGCUAAAAAAGAUUAGGAGUACGAUUUUUUUUGUUGGAAGCACGCAUACAUCGGUGGUUAGAACAAGAAGUUGCUAGGGUGGAUUUUUUUCAUUAUGCUAAUGCUAAAAAUACAUGAUUGGGAGUGGUUUACCAAAUUGUUGGAUGGUAUGUUUUUUUAACGCAUAUACCCCCUCCAUUCCAAAAGAAUAAAAAUAUUUAUACAUAAUAAAUAUUGUUAGAAUAAUAGUAACAUAUACUUUUAUAAUAAAUAUAUUAACAGAUAUAAUUAUUAGAAAUAUUUAUAUAAAUAUAAUCAAACCAUUUCCCCGCUAGAUGUACACUUAUUAUUAUAUACACUACUCACGUUUUUUAUAUGGCCGGUCUCCUUUCGUUUAAAAAAUGGUACUGUACAAUAUUUUGAUGGACGAUGAUAUGAGGCUAGGGCCGUGUUUAGCUACGAAAAGUGAAAAGUUUUCGGUACUGUAGCACUUUCGUUUGUUUGUGACAAAUAUUAUCUAAUCAUGGACUAACUAGGAUCAAAAUAUUCAUCUCGUGAUUUACAGCUAAACUGUGUAAUUAGUUUUUGUUUUCGUCUAUAUUUAAUGUUUCAUGCAUAUACCAUAAGAUUCGAUGUGACGGAGAAUCUUGAAAACUUUUUGAUUUUCAGAGUGAACUAAACAAGGCCUAGGAGAUACUUGACAUGUGGGGCUCUUCUCCACCUGAGGCCUUGUUUAGUUUUUUAAAAAAUUAUAAAAUAGAUACUAUAGUACUUUUGUUUGUAUUUGACAAAUAUUGUCUGACUAUAGAUUAACUCAGUUCAAAAGAUUCGUAUUCUAAAUUACAGGUAAAACUGUGAAAUUAGCUAUUUGUCUUAUCUAUAUUAUAAUUCUUCAUAUAUAUAAUACAAGAUUUGAUGUGAUAGAAAUCUAAAAAAUUUCACAAGAUUUUUUAAAACUAAGGCCUUGUUUAGAUUCAAAAUCUUUUUGGAUUUUGACACUGUAGCAAUUUCAUUUUUAUUUGACAAAUAUUAUCCAAUCAUAGAGUAAUUAGGCUUAAAAGAUUCGUCUCGUGAUUUACAGUUAAACUGUGCAAUUAGUUAUCUUUUUUAUCUAUAUUUAAUAUUCCAUGCAUGUACCGUAAGAUUCGAUGUAAUGAUGAAUCUUUUAAAAUUUUGGGUUUUUGGGUGUAUCUAAACAAGGUCCAAACAGGCCUGACGUAGCCAUAGCCAGCUAACACUGUCAGGCUGUCUCGUUCAGAAAGGGAACCAGGCGGCGGGUCGGUCGGUUUCCUGUCUUUUCCGUUGCUCUCGUACAACGUGUUCUUUCGCGUAGCCAGCAGUUUUAUUCGCGACACGUGUUCCCCUCGCAACGAAUACGUGGCACUCUCGACCCAGCCAUUUGUCAGCUGUCACCGCCACAUGGAACACGAGCGUGUAUUUGCCUUGAAUUGAAUGAAUGAUACUUUACAAUAAUCCAUCGAUUAGUUAGCCGUUGAAUUAAGCCACUGCAAAUGAAAAUGAGAAGAGCAGUGAAAUCAAGUCUCCGGUAUUUGGACGAAGAACUUGUGCGCAGUGCAGAUGGAACUAUGGAAGCAGAAGGCAGCGCAGUUUAUAUUCUCUUACUUCGUUUCUCUGAAAUUGGAUAUUAGUUUAAGGAUCGUGAGUCCCAUUAUUUUAGAUUUUAACUGAAAUAUUACCGUUUGUAUCAUCAGUAAGGGUUCUCACGAGAAUUUUUUUUGUGUAAUGGACUCAUGAGAGGCGACUAAAGGAGAUCGAACCACGGCUUACGAGGGUGGUGAUGAACUCACUUUCAGAUCUUUUUCCACAUCUUGUUUUCAGUUUCUUAUCCUACCUUUUUGAACUUAGAAGUCCUGGACUUAGGCCUUAUUUAGUUCCAAAAUUUUUUUGGAUUUCGCUAUUGUAGUAUUUUCGUUUUUAUUUGACAAACAUUGUCCAAUCAUGGAGUAACUAGUCUUAAAAGAUUCGUCUCGUGAUUUACAGAUAAACUAUGUAAUUAGUUUUUGUUUUCGUCUAUAUUUAAUGCUCCAUUCGAUGUGACGGGAAAUCUUGAAAAGUUUUUGGUUUUUUUGGCAACUAAACAAGGCCUUGAGCAUCUCCAACAACUUGGUAUUUCAACAUGCUAUCCUACCAAAUUUGCUAAAAGCAUAAAAAUCCUCUUCCAACAACUCCUUAUCUCAACUUGCUAAAUUUUUCCCAAGUUGCUAUCCAGAGGUUUCUACUGCCGAGAUUUGUCAAGUUGCUAUCCCAAGUUGCUAUUCCGAGCGCAACUUGUUGGAGACACAUAUUCUUUUACCAAGUGAGCGGGUCCCAUCUGUCAUCCUCUAUUUUUACCAAGUGAGAAUAGCAAUUUAUUGGAGACACAUCCUUUUUUCUUUUGCUAAACAAAUUAGCAACUUGCUAUAACUCAAGAUUUGACAAGUGAAUUUUACCAAGUUGUUAGAGAUUGGAAUUGUUUGGAUCCGACUUGUUAUCGUUUAUCAAAAUUAGCCUAUAUAAAAUUAGUUUUACCGUAACUACCUCCAAAAUUAUGUUUGGACCCAGCUAACCCACAUACAAGAUAAACUUAGUUUCCAUAAAUCAAGAAAACUGUGUAUUAGUAAAAAUGGGCCCACGUCGUUUUUAUUAGAAUUGGUUUUCGAUAUCCACGACCUCAUAUAGCCACCGCGUGCGGUUUUUUUUUUUUUUUUUUUUUUUUUUUUUUUUUUUUUUUUGCAAUCCUGCUUUCGCGCCUAAGCAGGUUUGGCCGCCUAUGCAAGAUAUCUGAACUUAAAACUGGUCGAGCAGCGCCAGUUGCGAGUAUCUGAAUCCAAACAUAUUUUUUAAUAAAGCUCAUGCUAACUAGCUAACAAACUUUAAACUGGUUUUCAUAAGAUCUAGUUUAGAACUCAUUCGGCUAAAACAGGUUUAGAAUUUUGAGAUCUAAACAACCACUUAAUAUUAUUAGAAAGUGGUGAAAUAUGAAGUUUUACAUUGCUUUAUUUAAGACUAUCGCCUAGUUCGUGGAGUAGAAUUUAAUUCAGGUCAAAUGGAAGAACAAACUGAAUCAUUGUUAGAGAUGAAAACGUAUGAGAAACAUCCCGCACUGGCCUAAGUGCUUGUAUCCUGUAUUUUUUUUUAUGAAAAAAACGAAAACAUGAAAAAAUCAGAGAAAUUUUAUCAAUUUGGUGAAAUCGACUAAGGUAUUUUCCCAACUAUUUUAACAGUUCCUAUAUUUACACGUGUACUUUCUUGAUGAUAUUCUCACUUCUAGCUUGACUCCAAACCCAUAGGUGGAGGCAACAUCAUAGUAAGCCAACGACACAAGCACCCAAACAAUAAACACGGUUCGGCUGAAAAGUCAUAUCUGAAACGCUGAUUUAUUAUAGGAGAAAAACAUUGUUAAGUAACUGACAGAUUUGACAGAUAAACUUAAACUAAUAGGCCGCGACACUCCUGCCCUAAGUCCUUUUAUCCAUCUUUCUCAUGCCCCACCCAAUCCCAAGCCUAUCACCCCUGUUUCAACAACGACCCCCCAAAUCCCCAAUACCCAUUGUGUUCCUACCACCCGGUCCCACUUCUUGGUCUACCGCUGCCAGCAAGCUCGGCACGCGCCAUGGUGUCGACGAGUGCUUCUCCUUGAUUGGUAUGUUAAAUCUUUUAUGAGUUUAUGACCAUGAUCCGAUCCCUGAAGUCGUGAAGAGAGUCCUAUUAUUUUGUAGUGUCAUGGCGUGAGCUGUACUGAUAUUUGUUCUCUUGCGUUAAUUCAAGUGCUCAUUGUAGCUUGCUCAACACUGGUAUUGUACAUUUUGUAAUACCAUUUAAUUUAUUUUGAAAUGGUUUUACAGGUUUUGGCUGAUGCAAUUGGCGCUGCAUUGAAAAGGAAACAUCAUAACAGAACAAAUAGUUAUGUUGAACCGACACUGUCUUGUUGAUUGGUUGAUUUGUUGCUCUCAUCGUUUCCAUGAACUGGUACGGUACAUGUAUGGUUUGUACCUGAUAGCACCUUGUUUAUAUUUAUAUAAUUCUUGAACCCAUUGUGUCUGAAAGUAUCAAGAUGCCCAAGAGGGGGGGUGAAUUGGGCUUCUCUAAAAAUUUAAGCAACCUAUAAGCUCCAAUUCAACCCCUUGUGCCUAGUGUGACUUAGAGAGCUACCGGAUAAAAGUUUUGCAACCUAGUUCCAAUCCUAUUCUAGCAUGGCAAUUCUAAGAAUGUAAGAGCAUAAAGUAAAUGCUAGAAAGUAAGGGAGUAGUGGAAGAAAAUGCUCGGCGAUGUUUUGCCGAGGUAUCGGAGAGUCGCCACUCUCCACUAGUCCUCGUUGGAGCACCCGCGCAAGGUCUUGCUCCCCCUUGGUCCGCGCAAGGACCAAGUGCUCUCUACGGGCUGAUUCUUCGACACUCCGUCGCGGUGAAUCGCCCAAAACCGCUCACAAGCUUGACACGAGCCACCCACAAGAACUCCGGGUGAUCUUCGUGCCUCCAAUCACCACCGAACCGUCUAGGUGAUGGCGAUCACCAAGAGUAACAAGCAAAGAACUCUCACUUGACCCAAACAAGGCACUAGAGAGUGAUGGAUGCACACUUGACUCUUGGAACUCACUAGAGGAGGAUUCUCUCAAGAAUUCACUCAAAAACUUAUCCUCUCUAGGCUCUUUGCAACUCUCUUGCUCCACAACAAGUUUCUCUGAUGUUCAAAUGGGCAAGAGAGGUCUCAUGGACGAGGUGGAGAAGUAUAAAUACUAUCCACGAAGUUCAAAGGUUGGCCAACCGUUUUCCACUGAAAACGGGGUCACCGGACGCACGUUAUGUUGCACCGGACGCACUGCACCGAGCGUCCGGUGUGACAUAACGGCUACCUGCGCUUUUCUCUGACAGGUCACCGGACGCUAACUCUCAGCGUCCGGUGCACCGUCCGGUGCUCGGGGAAACCUUACAUGCUCCCUGCGCAUGGGACCGGACGCUACCCGGCGCGUCCGGUGCUAGCGUCCGGUGCUCAGGGGAACUUUGCAAGCUCCCUGGGUAAGGGACCGGACGCUGCCCGGUGCGUCCGGUGCCAGCGUCCGGUGCCAACCCUAAGCACCAAACUGUUCCAACGGCUAAGGACCUCACCGGACGCACUCACAGAGCGUCCGGUGCAGCGUCUGGUGCCCCUUUGGGCACCCAAACUUCGUCGAAACGCGAUCGCUCCAACACGAGGUUUGUUCCUCUCGAUCUAAGGACUAUCUCUGAGCUGCCUAGUGCUAGGUUUACCAAGUGUGCACCACACCUAAACCUAAAGCCUUGCCUAAGUCAAGCUACUAGAUCAAAGCCCCUCUUAAUAGUACGGUCAAAGGAAAAACAAGGUCCUAAACUACUCUAAGUGCCCUUCUUCACCAUAUGGCACUUAGACCUAGUCUAGUCUUGACGAUGUCCAUCCAUCCUUUGAAAACCGAAACGAUUUCCACUAUUAAGUAGGCAUGUACGUCCCUGUCCAUCGAGUAUCUAUAUACCAUGACCUUACCUAUGGCUUUGCCUCUACAAAACACACGUUAGUCAUAGUAAUCAAUAAUGUCAUUAAUCACCGAAAUCACUAGGGGCCUAGAUGCUCUUUCAAUCUCCCCCUUUUUGGUGAUUGAUGACAACCUCGAGUAUGAAAAGAGUUGAGGUUUUCAAAGUGACUUGGUUUCAAUAAGCAUAUGACAAUAAGAAUAAAAGGAUUAGUAAUGCUUAUAUCAACCAAGUCCAAUACCCUGCAUCCAAAUAUGUGAGUGGUAUACGACAGGAUAUAAACAUUAGGCUCAUAAGUACAUCGGAGUAGACAUGCGGAAGCAAAAAGUAAUAAGAGCCAAAACACAUGACAAUAAGAUAUCACAAUAACCAAAGUCAUGUCUCACAACCAAAGUAUCUCACACAAGUGCAAUGCAUAAAGGUAAACAUGAUGCAUGAAAAAGUAGCACACAUAACAAGUAUCUCAAAAGAAUAGACUCCUCACAAGAAGACUCCUAAAACCUCUCUAGCUCCCCCUAACUCCUAACUCUCAUACUACGAACUCUCUCCCCCUUUGGCAUCAAGCGCCAAAAACCUAAGAAGUCGGUGGAGGAGGUGGAGCAGUGGAGUCCCUCGGCACGGCCACGAAGCGAGCUGCAUCAUCUGAACUGUCGGCCGUCGAGGUAGAGGAGGUGGAGUGACCCUCUGAAGCUGCAGGUGCUGGAGAAGCGGUCCGGGUCUGCUCUGGCACUGUCACAGGCUGUGCUGGCUGCUCAAGUCCGGCGGACGAAGCUGGCACGGACUCGGUCGCUGUAGCUGUCGUCUCUAGAACGGUAGUAGACGGUGCAAGCUGCUCGGACGACGCUACGGACGACGACAGAAGCUCUAUAGUGGUAACUGGCGUCGUAAAGACUGCAGGAGCCUGCAGAGGAGAAGGCAUAGGGUCACCAGUCAGAGCACUGUAGGUGAAGCUGAGGUGCGGAUCUGUCUGCGAGUCCCACACAAGCUGCGACGCUGAAGCUGACUGAGGGGUGAAGCCUGAGCGGAGAGGGGUAAACUGCGGUACCUGCUCAAAGCCUGAAGAGAUAGCACCCUGAGAGACCUGGUGCUGUGGCGUCGAAAACGGCUGACUCUGAGCUGGUAGCUGGAGCGGCUGGUGAGACGGGCUCUGAGUCUGAGGCACUGGAGUAGGUGGCCUGACAGUCGACGUGCCUGGGAGCUAGAUCUACGGUAGCUGAAUCCCUGAGGCGGCCAUGAGAGCGGCCAUCAUCGCUGUCUGCUGGGCUUGGAAAGCAAGCUGCUGCUCCUGAAAAGUGAGAAGCUGACGCUAGAGCUCAUCCUGCCUGGCCUGCAUGGCUGCAUUGAUGGCAGCCUGAUCCCUGUCUCGCCUCGCCUGCUCCUCAGCUGCACGGCGCUGAUCUGCCCUCAUCCCCUCUAAGAUAGCAAGCAGGGCGGGGUCUGAAGUACUCGAAGAGCCGCCUGCCUCGUGGUCGUGUGCUCUGGGAGGGAGAUCAGUCACUGGCGGCUGAUAGUCGUCAUCUGAGCUGUCUGAGGCGAAGUCGAACUCGCCCUCUGCCUCUGCAUCGGCGAACGCCCCGAUAGCUACGUCCUGCUGCUCCUCUGUCUCUGCAACAGCUGCUGUACUGCGGGUGCCCCUAGGAGAAGGUGGGGGCACCGGUCCACGUGGAGCACGAGGAGGAGGGGCACCGCGAAGGUCGUGGUGCGCUCUCAACAUCUGCCGGGGGUCGUAGUGGGGGAAGACGGUGUCGGACUCUGUCAACUCCCUCUGCAAGUGAGCUGGCAGGGGCAGUGGCCUAGCACGAAGUAUAAGCAGGGUGAUCCAAUGUGCGUAGGGCAACUGACGCCGGCCCCUGAAGCUCUCUGAGAUGAUGUCCUCUAUCUCUGAGACAAUCAGAUCCCACAAAUCAAACUCUGUCUGGGAGAUGAGGUGAGCAACUAACCACUGCUGGAUGCGAGUGAACCCGUCUCUGUAGCCUGUCCUGGGGAGAAGGGUCUUCCUCAACACGAAGUCAAGGAUCCUGGCUGGCCGUGUCAAGUCUCCCACUGUCCUGCUGGAGCCCUCCCCAAAAGGUGCACGGAAACAGGGAGCCACGAAGUCGACUGGUGGUAUCUCACCACCGUGAGGACGACGAGGGGGAUCCACGUUCCCGUAGCACAGCUGGUGAAUCCUGGUGGGAGAGGCUCGCAGUCCAAGUACCUCUCUGGCCCUCUGAGCUGUCACUCUGUAGUCUGUCCCCGCCAGUGCGUAGUGGAUAUAACUGUGAUCUGGAGAAACCCACACUGAUGCGUAGAACUCUCUGACCCACUGCUCACAGUAAGUGCCGGGGAGUGCUAGUAACUCUGGAAGUCCGUGGAGGUAGGUAAAAUACUGACGAAUAUCAGCUCCAACCACGUUCCCCAGUAUCUCCAGGUCGAUCACUCUAUGCUCCCUGAACUGAGCCUGAGAGCGAACCAGUGCCUCGUAGAUGUCCUCCUGGAUGACUGUGUAGAACCUGGCACCGGCUCUAGGAUCCCUGGCAGCUGGAAACCAGGUGGGAAACGGAACGAACCUCAGCUGCUGGAUCUCUCUGGCUGACACAAGAGAAAGAUCCCUGUGGAUCCUGACUGGCCUCGGGCGUGAAGCUGGUGUACCUCUCGCUGGUGUGGCACGAGCUGUGGAAGUGGACUGACCCGGCGUGCCGGUCUGAGGAACGGCCUGGGUGCGAGCACGAGUCGACCUCCUGAGUGGCUGCUCCUGCUCCUGUGCUGGACCCUCUGCCUGGGUCUCUGUCUCAGUGUCUGGAUCCUCCUGAGCUGGAUCCCUGACCACAAGCCUAACCCUCUGUCCUCCAAUCGUCACGGUGCCUGGAGGGGAUCCAUGAAAAGCCUCUGCCUCAAGCACUGCACGCCUCUGACGCGGCGUAAGAUCAUCACCGAUCCUCAGAGAACCAGAGCGACCACCCCUCUCGGCUGCCUUAGCCGCUGCUGCAACUGCCUCUGCGACCUCUGCAUCUCUGUCACUGGCCUUCCGCUUCUUUGUGGCCAGCUUCUUGCCUUUUCCCUUCUCUGCCGCUGACAGGCGCCGGGGAGGAUCACCUCCACCAUCUCCUCCUGGAGAACCUCCUGAGCCAGCUGUCGGACCGCUAACAUUCUUGCAACGAGCCAUAGCAAAACAAACAUCCGACAAACAACUGACUGGCAAUGGAGAACAAUGCACUGCAGAGAAUGGACAUGAUAGGGUCUAAAUAAGAAGAUACAUCGACUAGAGACGAGAUAAACCUAUGGAUCGCAAGAAAAGAUAAGACACGGGCACAAACGGCUUACGAUCGACUGACGAGACGCGUUCCGGAUUAAAAGGUCGCGAUCGGAAACCUCUGGAGACCACGAAUCUUCUCCUAGAGGUGCUGCAACGAGAAGACCAUCGAGAUUGGAAUCAAAUCCUAAAUCGAAAGUCAUGGAAACAAAAGCUCGAGCACCUUGGGAGAUAGAGCAGAGAACUUACCCCAAGCCCUAAUUUCUUCGCAAGGAAGGAAACCAGAGCGAGGAGAGGGAAGGGAAGAAGCCCCUUAGCAGAUCUGGCGCGGGGGAAAGCUCCAAACUCGUAGGAAAACGGCGCAAGGACGAAGGCGGCGGCGCUAGGGCACGGGCGCGGCCAGAGAUUUGGAGGAGGAAGAAGAAAAACCGCCCGCGAAACCCUCUGGGUGCGGGCUUUAUCCGCCCGCCGCGGGGUCACCAGACGCUCUUAAUGUGGCACCGGACGCGUCCGGUGACCACCGGACUCAUGCGCAGAGAGGAUUGCAUUUUGGCUUUGCACCGGACGAUGGGCACCGGACGCUGGCUUUAGCGUCCGGUGCUUCAGGUCACACCAGGUGAGCACCGGACGCAGCACACCGGACGCUGCAGGAACACUGUUCCUACGUCCGGUGCAUGCAAUCUGGUACACUCAUCGCACCGGACGCUCAGAGGCAGCGUCCGGUGCAUCGUCCGGUGCUCCUCUGAGCACUUUUCCAACUAAGCACCACGUUCGUCUUUGACCCAACCAAGUUCCAUCUUCAAAAACACUCAAAUAACCACCAAAUGGAACUGGUAUGAGUGACAUCUCUCAAACCCUCAAAUUUUCACAAAUAUUUAGCCAUAGGCUUAGUAGUUUUUAUGAAGGUAGUUCGAGAAAAAUCACCAAGGAGCAUCGUAUGGCCAUAAAGCUAGGGGUUUGAAACAUAAUGAGCUUGGAAUGCUCCCCCUAUCUAUGGACGAACACAGUGGAUGCUCAACGAAUAACCGAAAAGAAACGAUCAACUAACAAGCAUGCACAUGAUAUGAGUUGUAAUGCAAUACUUGAGAGAAAACUAAUGCUUGUCAGAUUUGAUCCAAGGUUAAGCUUUUUCACACACACAAGGGGGUUAUCUUAACCAUGUUAGACAAGCCCUACAUGCAAGUUAUAUUUUUAGUUUUAAUAUGCAUGAUAUGCAAAGCAAAAGUUAUUUACAAGAUUCAACACGCAACUUUUAUCUUUUAGUGAAGUUGGAUAGGUCAAGCACAUUAAGUUCAUUUCUCAACAUACAAAACCUAGCUUCAUCUAGGGGUUUUGUGAAGAUAUCCGCCAAUUGAUUUUCCGUUCCCACAUUCUCUAGGGAUAUGUCACCUUUAGCAACAUGAUCCCUAAGGAAGUGGUGACGAAUGUCAAUAUGUUUUGUGCGGGUGUGUUGAACCGGGUUGUUUGCAAGUUUUACGGCACUUUCGUUGUCACACAACAAAGGUACUUUGUCUAGUACUACUCCAUAGUCUAGCAAAGUUUGUUUCAUGUAGAGUAUUUGUGCACAACAAGCACCGGCGGCUAUGUAUUCCGCCUCGGCCGUUGACAAGGCAACACUAUUUUGUUUCUUUGACAUCCAAGAGACAAGAGAUCUACCUAGGAAGUGGCACCCUCCGGAUGUGCUUUUUCUAUCAAUCCGGCACCCGGCAUAAUCCGAAUCGGAAUAGCCUACAAGUUGGAAUCUUGCACCUUUGGGAUACCACAAGCCUAGGCAAGGUGUGUAUUUUAGAUACCUAAGAAUUCUCUUGACUGCAAUCAAGUGAGAUUCCAUAGGCAUUGCUUGAUAUCUUGCACACAUACACACACUAAACAUUAUAUCGGGCCUAGAUGCGGUGAGGUAGAGUAGACUUCCUAUCAUGGAGCGAUAGAGAGUCUUGUCAAUAGGGUUACCUCCCUCAUCCAAGUCGAGAUGCCCAUUUGAUGCCAUGGGAGUCUUGAUUGGCUUGCAAUCCAUCAUCUUGAACCUCUUGAGAAGAUCUUGAGUGUACUUCUCUUGAGAGAUGAAGACCCCUUCCUUCAUUUGUUUGACUUGAAAUCCUAGGAAGAAGGAUAGCUCGCCAAUCAUGGACAUCUCAAACUCCUUGGACAUCAAAUCACCAAAUUCCUUGCAAAAGUCUUCAUUAGUAGAGCCAAAAAUAAUAUCAUCAACAUAAACUUGGCAAAUGAAGAUUUCCCCAUUCAUUUUCUUGGUGAAGAGUGUUGUGUCAGCUUUCCCAAUCUUGAAGCCCUUCUCAAUGAGGAAGUCCCUAAGCCUCUCAUACCAAGCUCUAGGAGCUUGCUUGAGACCAUAGAGUGCCUUGGACAACCGGUAGACAUGCUUGGGGUACCUAGGGUCUUCAAAACCGGGGGGUUGCUCAACAUAGACAAGCUCAUUAAUAUAACCAUUUAAAAAGGCACUUUUCACAUCCAUUUGAAAUAAUUUGAUAUCAUGACUUGAUGCACAUGCAAGUAGGAUACGGAUUGCUUCAAGUCUUGCCACCGGUGCAAAAGUUUCACCGAAGUCAAGACCUUCCACUUGUGAAAAGCCUUUUGCCACAAGUCUUGCCUUGUUGCGCACCACUUUGCCUUGAUCAUCCUUCUUGUUCCGGAAGACCCACUUUGUUCCAAUCACUCUUGCAUCUUUGGGCCGCUCUUCAAGUGUCCAUACUUGGUUGCGAGAGAAGUUGUUCAACUCCUCUUGCAUGGCCAUGAUCCAAUCCGCAUCACGAAGAGCUUCCUCUAUGGUCUUUGGUUCAUCUUCAAGAGACACAAAAGCGUGAUGUUCAAUAAAUAAAGCAUGUCUAGAACGAGUAGUUACACCACGUGAUGGACUCCCGAUGAUGAGAUCUUGAGAGUGAUCUUGGAGGAGAUGUGAUGUUCUUCUUGGUGCCACUUGAGGGGUUGGUUGGAGAGCAUCAACAUCUUGUGCUUGUGCCACCGCUUGCUCAUGAGUGACUUGGGUGUCUUCAUGAGCAUCUCUCACAUCCUUGUCUUCAUCUUGUGGACCUUGUGAGGUGGAUGGUGGCUCAAUGACUUGCACAUCAUCAUCAUCUUCUUUAGGCUUGAUGUCUCCCACCGGCAUGUUCUUCAUGGCAUCCCUCAAUGGUUCACCACCUACAUCAUCAAGAUUAUCACUUGCUCCUUGGGAGCCAUUAGUUUCAUCAAAUUCAACAUCAAAUGUUUCUUCAACCAUGUUUGUGGCAUGGUUAAAGACCCUAUAUGCUUUGGACUUUGAUGAAUAGCCAACCAAGUAGCCAAUGUCACAUCUUCUUUGGAACUUUCCCAAGUGUUGGCGCUUCUUGUAGAUGUAGCACUUGCACCCAAACACUCUAAAGAAUGAGACAUCGGGCUUCUUCCCAUUGAGCAACUCAUAUGGUGUCUUCUCUAGGAACUUAUGUGGAAAGAGCCGGUUUGAAGCAUAGCAUGCCGUGUUGAUUGCCUCGGCCCACAUCUUCUCCGAAGUGUUAUACUCAUCUAGCAUUGUUCUUGCCAAGGUGAUCAAUGUCCGGUUCUUUCUUUCUACAACCCCAUUUUGUUGUGGUGUGUAUGUUGAGGAAAACUCAUGCUUGAUUCCCACUUCAUCACAAUAUUCUUCAAUGUUGGUGUUGUCAAACUCUUUGCCAUUGUCACUUCUAAUUUUCUUGAUCUUCACAUCAAAUUGAUUUUGGGCAUUCUUUGCAAAUUUCUUGAAUAUCGAUGCAACUCGGCCUUGUCUUGCAAGAAGAAUGUCCAAGUGUACCGGGAGAAAUCAUCAACUAUGACCAAACAAUAUUUGUUGCCUCCAAGACUAGCAUAUGUGGUUGGUCCAAACAAAUCCAUGUGAAGUAGUUCAAGAACUCUUGAAGUAGAGAGAUAGGCUUUGGUUGGAUGAGUGUUUGCAACUUGUUUGCCCGCUUGACAUGCACUACAAAGCUUGUCCUUUUCAAAUGUCACAUCCUUCAAGCCUCUAAUCAAUUCUUUCUUCAUCAACUUCUUGAGUGUGCCCAUUCCAACAUGUGCUAACCUUCUAUGCCACAACCACCCAAGUGAAGUCUUGGUGAAUAAGCAAGUCUUGACAUUAACUUCAUUGGAUGAGAAGUCAACCACAUAUAAGUUGUUGUGCCGGAAGUCUUUGAAUAUCACUUCAUUGUCAUCUUCCUUGGUCACAAUUACUUCCUUCUUCUUGAAUAGGCAUUCAAAUCCAAGGUCACAUAAUUGUCCAACCGAGAGCAAAUUGAAACUCAAAGAUUGCACAUAGAGCACAUUGGUGAUGGAGUUGUCAUUUGAUAUAGCAACCUUUCCUAGUCCCUUGACUUUCCCUUUUGAAUUGUCACCAAAUGUGAUCUUCUCUUGGUUGUCAACAUCUUCAUCAAGAGAGGUGAACAUCCGGGGAUCUCCGGUCAUAUGUUGAGUGCAACCACUAUCAAUUACCCAAUGUGAUCCACCGGUCUUGUAGUUCACCUACACACAAGAGAUCAAGCUUGAGAUUUAGGGACCCACAUUUGCUUAGGGCCCUUGACCUUCUCUACUAGUUGCUUUGGCACCCAAAAUCUUCUUUGGCCUUUGCUUGUUUGGUGGCCCCAUGAAGCUAACCUUGACCUUGCCACACUUGUGUUUUCUUACAAUGUAAUGAGCAUUGAAGGCAAAUGGUCUUGCAUGCUUGGGCAAGGGUGGUGGUAGUGGUGCCUUACACUCAUGAGCAAAGUGUCCUUCUUGACCACACUCAAAACAUCUUUUUGGCUUUGGCUUGCUUGCUUGAUCAUGAGUGACUAGAGACUUGAUGAGCUUUGUUUGAUGAGCCUUAUAGCCAAUCCCACUCUUGUCCAUCUUCAUGACGGUGUUCAUGAAAAGCUCACUUUGAAGGUCCUUCCCUUUUGUGAACUUUGCUAACCCCAUGGUUAGGUGUUCCUUCUCUUUCUUGAGCUUGUUGUUCUCUUGAGUUAGCUUCUUGAUGAUUGGGUCAUUGUUGCUAGCUAACUCAUCCAAGAUGAAUGUCUCAUCUUCUUCUUGCUUGUCAUACAUCAAACCAAGCUUGAGAUAUUGAUUUUCUUCUUUGAGUAACUUGUUCUCAUAUGCAAGUUUCUUGUCUUGAUCAAGUGACUCAAUCACAAUGGUGUUGUGCUUGGAUUGGUCUAGCAACUCUUUCUUGAGCAUGACAAUUUCAUCCUUGAGCUUGAUAGUGUCCUCAUAACUCUCGGCCACUACCACUUUCUUGCCCUUGCAAUCAACACAUUUGCUUGUGCUCUCCACAAGUAAGUCAUCACAAGAUGUGGCUACAUCAAGCUUAGCAACAUUGUUAGUAGCAACAUGUGUUUCAUCAAUUGCAAGUUCAUAAGCAAUCUCAAGGUUGUCAUAGUUUGCUUUUAGAGUUGUUAGUUCUUCUUUCAUUGCUCUAUAUCUAGUGAUAAGCUCAUCAUGAACACUCUCAAGUUUAUCAUGUUUUUCUUUGAGCUCUUUUAGAGAGAGUUUGAGCUCCUUGAGCUUAGUGGUCAUGAUCUCAUUUUGUUCUCUAAGCUCAUCACUAGAGUUAAGCUUUGCUAGAAGUGUAUCAUUUUCAAGUUCAAGCUUUUCAUUUUCACUUCUAGUCUUUCUUAUGACUUUUGUGUAUUUGUUUAGCAAUUUUCCAAGUUCAUCAUAAGAAGGUGAUUCAUAUUCACUAUCACUUCCACUACUCUCAUCCUCACUUUGUACCUUCCGGUCACCUUUGGCCAUAAGGCAUAGGUGUGUAGAGGAUGUAGAUGGUGGUGAAGAUGAUGGUGAUGGAGCAUCGAUGGCGAUAGCGGCAACCUUCUCAUCAUCACUUUCAUUGCCGGAGGAGUCACCACUUGAGCUUUCAAUGUCGGUGAGCCAAUCACCAACAAUAUAAGCCUUGCCAUUUUUCUUCUUGUAGUGCUCCUUCUUCUUGCCACCUUUCUUCUUGUAUUGCUUCUUGUCAUUUUUCUCAUCAUCACUUGAGUCAUCUUGCUCUUUGUUCUUCUUCUUGUACCUGUCCUUCUUGGGCUUUGGACAUUGAUGAGCAAGAUGACCAAGCUCACCACAAUUGUAGCAAUCCAUCUCGGAGAUGGGCUUCCUCUUGCUACUUGUGAAGAACUUCUUCUUCUUGGAGUCAAAGUUGACUCCAUUCUUGUUGAGCUUCUUCAACAUCUUGGUGGUUCUUCUCACCAAGAGGGCAAUAGAUGCAUCAUCAUCGCUUGAAGUUGAUGACUCAACUUCAAUCUUCUUGGCCUUGCCCUUGUGAGAAGCUUUGAGAGCCAAGUCCUUCUUUUCUUUCUUGGCCGAUGAGGAGCCAUCUUGAGGGUUCAUGUGCAUGUACAUCUCAUGAGCAUUGAUCUUCCCCAAUAUGGUGGUUGGUGUAGCGGUGGAAAGAUCGCCUUGAUGAAGCACGGUUACUAUGUGCCCAUAUUUCUCAAUGGGAAGCACACAUAGUAUCUUCCUUGCAACAUCCGCCGUACUCAUUUGUGUAAGCCCAAGUCCAUUUAGCUCCUCUACAAUGACAUUCAAGCGAGAAUACAUUUCAUUAGCAUUUUCUUUAGGAAGCAUUUCAAAUGUAUUAAGCUUGUUCAUCACUAGGUGAUAGCGUUCCUCGCGUUCACUCUUAGUUCCCUCAUGAAGCGCACAAAGUUCCUUCCAAAGUUCAUUGGCGGUUUUGUGGCUCCGAACACGGUUGAACACUUCUUUGCAAAGACCUCUAAAAAUGUGGUUUUUGGCCUUUGCAUUCCACUUCUCGUUUUCUUGCUCUUGUGGAGUAAGAGCGGUGGCUCUUUCCGGAGGGGCAAACCCUUUGGUCGCGGCUUUUAGGCACUUUACAUCGCAUGCCUCAAGGUAUGACUCCAUCCGUAUUUUCCAAUACGGGAAGUCAUCCCCAUCGAACAUGGGUGGCGGUCCAUCCCCGUUAGACAUCUUUCUCUAGGCGGUGAAGCCUAAAUAAUGAGCACUAGGCUCUGAUACCAAUUGAAAGGAUCAAGAUGCCCAAGAGGGGGGGGGGUGAAUUGGGAUUCUCUAAAAAUUUAAGCAACAUAUAAGCUCCAAUUCAACCCCUUGUGCCUAGUGUGACUUAGAGAGCUACCGGAUAAAAGUUUUGCAACCUAGUUCCAAUCCUAUUCUAGCAUGGCAAUUCUAAGAAUGUAAGAGCACAAAGUAAAUGCUAGAAAGUAAGGGAGUAGUGGAAGAAAAUGCUCGGCGAUGUUUUGCCGAGGUAUCGGAGAGUCGCCACUCUCCACUAGUCCUCGUUGGAGCACCCGCGCAAGGGUCCUUCUCCCCCUUGGUCCGCGCAAGGACCAAGUGCUCUCUACGGGCUGAUUCUUCGACACUCCGUCGCGGUGAAUCGCCCAAAACCGCUCACAAGCUUGACACGAGCCACCCACAAGAACUCCGGGUGAUCUUCGUGCCUCCAAUCACCACCGAACCGUCUAGGUGAUGGCGAUCACCAAGAGUAACAAGCAAAGAACUCUCACUUGACCCAAACAAGGCACUAGAGAGUGAUGGAUGCACACUUGACUCUUGGAACUCACUAGAGGAGGAUUCUCUCAAGAAUUCACUCAAAAACUAAUCCUCUCUAGGCUCUUUGCAACUCUCUUGCUCCACAACAAGUUUCUCUGAUGUUCAAAUGGGCAAGAGAGGUCUCAUGGACGAGGUGGAGAAGUAUAAAUACUAUCCACGAAGUUCGAAGGUUGGCCAACCGUUUUCCACUGAAAACGGGGUCACCGGACGCACGUUAUGUUGCACCGGACGCACUGCACCGAGCGUCCGGUGUGACAUAACGGCUACCUGCGCUUUUCUCUGACAGGUCACCGGACGCUAACUCUCAGCGUCCGGUGCACCGUCCGGUGCUCGGGGAAACCUUACAUGCUCCCUGCGCAUGGGACCGGACGCUACCCGGCGCGUCCGGUGCUAGCGUCCGGUGCUCAGGGGAACUUUGCAAGCUCCCUGGGUAAGGGACCGGACGCUGCCCGGUGCGUCCGGUGCCAGCGUCCGGUGCCUAACCCUAAGCACCAAACUGUUCCAACGGCUAAGGACCUCACCGGACGCACUCACAGAGCGUCCGGUGCAGCGUCCGGUGCCCCUUUGGGCACCCAAACUUCGUUGAAACGCGAUCGCUCCAACACGAGGUUUGUUCCUCUCGAUCUAAGGACUAUCUCUGAGCUGCCUAGUGCUAGGUUUACCAAGUGUGCACCACACCUAAACCUAAAGCCUUGCCUAAGUCAAGCUACUAGAUCAAAGCCCCUCUUAAUAGUACGGUCAAAGGAAAAACAAGGUCCUAAACUACUCUAAGUGCCCUUCUUCACCAUAUGGCACUUAGACCUAGUCUAGUCUUGACGAUGUCCAUCCAUCCUUUGAAAACUGAAACGAUUUCCACUAUUAAGUAGGCAUGUACGUCCCUGUCCAUCGAGUAUCUAUAUACCAUGACCUUACCUAUGGCUUUGCCUCUGCAAAACACAUGUUAGUCAUAGUAAUCAAUAAUGUCAUUAAUCACCGAAAUCACUAGGGGCCUAGAUGCUCUUUUAAAGGUAUGAAAUCUAAUUUGCAUGAAUUUUGUUUGUAAAAAAUAUGCUUUCAUUCUUAGAAGUAGGGAGUAGCUUAAGAAAAAGAAUCAAUCCUAUGAUAACAAUACAACCAUUACUCUAUUAUCAGAGCAUUUAAUUAGAAGUAGAGUGGAAAUGCUAAUCUCUCCGUGUUUCUUAUAAACCCACAAGAUAUCAAGAUUUAAUCUCUAAAAAUCUUUGAAUAAUGAUUUCAAUUUUAAACUAUUACUACACUACGAACUUUAUGCGGUUGGGUUUGUGAUAAAAUGGGAUCAAUAUCCAAUUAUUAUAAGUUUAUGAACAUAAAUGAUACAAUAUAAAAUGAAUAUAUUGUUAAAAUAUAAUUUGUGAGAUAGCGUCAUAUCAAUUGUGCAAAGAAAACAGAGGUAGUACAAUGAUUAUACACUCGAUAUUUUCACUUGAAAGUACUAUGAACUGCUUAUCUCAUGACGGUGACAAUACCGAAGUAUCACUCAUACGUAACCUCUUGUUUAGUUUCGAAAAGAUUUCGGAUUUCGAUACUGUAGCAUUUUCGUUUUUAUUUGACAAACAUUGUUUAAUCAUAGACUAACUAGGCUCAAAAGAUUCAUCUCACGAUUUACAGAUAAAUUGUGCAGUUAGUUUUUGUUUUGGUCUAUAUUUAAUACUUCAUGCAUAUGCCAUAAGAUUCGAUGUGAGAGAGAAUCUUAAAAAGUUUUUGGUUUUUAGAGUGAACUUAACAAGCCCUAAAUAAACAUACAGUACACCUCCAAUGCACAAGCACCGAGACACACAAAUAGACCGGCCUAUAGCCCACUCACACAGUAGGCACGACCAUGUCAUUGGAGGCAUCAUUCAUAUCAUGAUCCAUGGCUCGCUCUGUAGGUAACAGAUGUGUCGCUUUUCACAAGGUCAAGGUUUAAUUAAGAAGCAUAUUUGUCUAAUUGGUAGCCAACAUCUAAACCUAAUUUCAAACAUAUUUUGCAUUGUCUCAUAUAUAAUCUCAAACGAGGGUAAGGUAAUUCAUUUUUCCGCAUCGCAUACAAUAAAAACAAAGAAGAAACAUAAUUAUGUGCAAGAAAGCCAGCCGAUAAUCACAGAACACCCAGCUAGCUCUUAAAAUAGCCGACUCAUAUCAUCCACGCCUUGGACUUGUUUGCUAUCAAUAGCGGGAGCUACAUACGAUCGAGUGUGAGACUGCGCGGCUGGCCGGCUGCGGGCGUUGAUCGUUCACCAGUCACCGCAUCUUACGAUCGUCCUAUCCGAAACUAUCUGCCAAGAAUAGGAUCUCGCUUGACUUAUUAGAGCUGGAAAAAGUCACCACAGAAUAUCAUCUUAUGAUUCUUAUCCAUUUAAUAAUUUACUAUAGAUACUAGAGGGCCUAGUUCACUUGAUAAUUAAGAAAAAAAGGAAACAAGAAGCGGCCUUUCAUUUUGCCAGCAGCCGUACGUGGCUGUGAUUCUAUCUAAACAUAGAAGUCAACAAUGAAGUUUACAGCUGGAAAUGAGAUAGGUUGUGCCACCAACCACCUACUGGCUUAUAUAGAAGCCUAACUUUGCAUGUGUUUUGAUGGAGUAAUUAGAGCCUGCUGCUGUGCUUGGUUCAGUGUGUCUAGACAACCAUGCCUCCAGCUCAUUGAUAUUGAACGUUUGGCAAAUGAAAUUGCUGCCUGGUUGGCAAGUUCCUUGCCAGGUCGCCAUCUAAUAGAUCCUGUAUAGAUUGUUUUAUAAAACAUGUGUUGUAUAUUGCUCCAAAUAUAAACAUAUAGACAGUUAGCCGGUAAACAGUUAGGCGUAUAUUCAAGAGUUAAUUCUGGCACACGAUAAUGGUGUUGUUUUGACUUGUGCAACAGGUGAGCGUGAGGUGGACGUACGUGUGACUUGUGAGUAUGACCAAGAGUUUUGGCGUGGGCCCACCUGGCAGAUAUAACCUCCACUUCGCUGUCGACAGGGCCCCACUAUCCGUCCGAGGUUUAUUAUCCAUUCUGGAAACACCUGCCGCGUGCCGCCACCAGAAAAAAAGCGGCGGUUUGUUUUUACUUUAUUUGCUUUGAUCCAUCGUUUUAAAAGGCGUCAUUACUUCCCUUCGCCGCUAUCUCGAAUCCCCCCUCUCUUCUUCUUCUUCUUCUUCCUCCCCUCUCGCUUGUGCUGUUCGUGCUCUUUAGAGCUCGGUGAUCCGUAAGAGAGGUAUAGGCGGUAGCCAUGGCGGCGGCGCAGGCGAUGGCGAAAGGGAGCGUGGGGCAGGGGUCUCUUGGUCGGCGGAGGGGCGCCGAGGCGGCGCGGGUCGGAGGAUCAUGGAGGAAGAGCGCGUUCCUCGGCGGGAGGCUGGCGGUUGGGCCCAGGAGACCGAGACCCGUGUCCCGGAUUCUAGUUACGUCGCCGGCGGUGCAGGUUAUCGAAUCUCCAGAGUCCUCAGUUUUUUUUUGUUGUAUUAGGUUUUCCUCUAUUCAGCGUGAUGAAAUUGUUUUGUUUCGUAAGGAUCGUGAUGAAUUUGCAUGUAGAUAGAGUUUUGACAUGGCUGCUUCUUCGCUUCAGCAGACGAACCUUUCAUUUGCGAAAGCCAUGAAGUGGUGGCAGAAGGGAUUGCAGCCCAACAUGCGGGCGAUCCAGACCGCCCAAGACCUCGCCGAUUCCUUGACCAACGCCGGCGACGGGCUCGUCGUCGUCGACUUCUUCUCACCCGGCUGCGCUGGCUGCCAUGCUCUCCACCCCAAGGUAAUAUCAGGAACAAACAGAAAGUAAUGUGAUUCACAUGUCAAUUCAGUCGUGCUGUUGUAAGAUUUUUCUUCCCUUACGCAGAUUUGUCAGUUCGCGGAGAGGAACCCGGAUGUGCAGUUCCUGCAGGUGAACUAUGAGGAGCACAAGUCUAUGUGCCACAGCCUUCACGUUCAUGUGUUCCCUUUCUUCAGGUUCUACAGGGGAGCUCAGGGUCGGCUCUGCAGCUUCAGCUGUACCAAUGCAACUGUGAGAUCUUGUCCGAUCUUGUGUUCUGGUGUCAAUCGUUCUGUGUUCCUUGUUCUAAUUGUUGCAAGAACAUGUUAAAGCAAGGCUUGCUCCAAUUAUUUUGGAAGAUGUUUCUGUGGCCAAGGAACAGACUGUAGUAUAUAUCCAUUUAGCUUUAGAGAAUUAUAUUAACCAAUUUGCUGAAAGGAAAUGCAAAGUUGUGAGGGUCUUGUUAUUAUUUGCAAAUGGGAAAAAAAUGGCAUUAGUAGUAGGUCUCAAAUAUCCUGUUGUAGUGCUUCCAGAUCUACUAGGAAAAUAAAUCAAGAAAACCCUUGGAACUGAAAUCAAUGACAAUGCUGUGACCUGGUACUUGUCUUUGAUGUGCAAUUUGACUUCCAUUGGCCUUUAGAUAGUCUGGCUUGUCUUUGAUGUGCAAUUUGACUGCCAUUGGGCUUUAGAUAAGAUCCAAUGUAUAUCGAUAAUGGCUACCAAUUGAUUUAACUUAUACGGUUGGUGACUAUUGUAUGCAGAUUAAGAAGUUCAGGGAUGCACUUGCAAAGCACAGAGCUGAUAGAUGCAGCCUUGGCCCUACUCGGGGACUAGAAGAAUCAGAAUUGUUGGCCCUGGCUGCAAACAAGGACCUGCAGUUCACCUACACCAAGGAGGCAGAACUGGCUCCAAGCAUGGAAGAUGUCGCAGAGGUUAUGACUGCUGACCGUCCAGGGCUUCCGACAUCAACAAUGCCAUUGGCAAGGCAGGGAUCUGAGGACAGGGCCUUGGUCUCGUCAGGAAGAUGAUUGGUGACUGUCACAUCCUUCAGUUAUGUACAGUACUUUAUCGUUCUUCAUGUGUACAGUUUGCUCCUUUUCAUAGUUGCAGAGUGCAGGCUUCCAGAUUUUUACUUGUGAAGCCUGCCCACGCUGCCUACUAGAAAUGAAAAAAAUGUGUUAGCAAUAGCAACAACUAUUGUGAGCCUUUGGUCUUCUGGAAAUCGUAUGGUAUGAAUAAGUCUACUUAUUUGGUAGUGAUGCAUUUUAUAAAUCGCUGCUCCGUGAGUUGUUCUUGUUCUUCGUAAUGAAAUGGUACGGUGGCUGCUUUGUGAGUGAAUCGUUUAUGGUUUACCAAGUCUAUUUUAACUCGAAUGAUGGCAUCAUCCGAGCUCAGAAGGAAGGAAAGGGAUGCAAGAUUACGGCCUGGCACCGGUAGUGAAGGCCCAGGUCGUCUGGCCCAAUCCGUAUGUCUGAAGACUAACGGGCCCAAUAUCGUCGCUUUCUCACGGUGGGCAGUGGGCUAUGCAUUAAAGACAACACCAAUCCACUGAUUUGGGCCGUAGACGUUUUAUUGUUUUUAUUGCCAAACAUCAACGGUAGGCUGAACAUCGAUCCAGGGCUUAAUUUUAUCUUUCCUCGGCCACAAUUAUUUAUGGACUGAGUAAGCUUUCCUGGACUGCAGCAGAUCAAUAAAGUUCUUCUUGUAAACCUUUUUUGGGGAAGUAUAUGCCAAACUUUUGUGCUCACAAUUGGGAGAGUUGGCAACAAUAUACAGUACAGUAUACCAGCGCUACAUUAUUUAUCGUCUACAGUAUACAAGCACUGUAACCUUUUCAUGUUGGACCCAUUUAAGUCCGAAAAUGAUGAUUAAUAUAUUUUUCUUUUUUUCUGACAACAAAUGUACAGAGCAGUCCAAAAAAUAACGAACAAAAAUUUCCCAAUUCACGCGAUCAGAAUAAAUAUACACCUGCUGUCCACAGACCCGUAAACAUGUUUAAUUUUUACAACCUAUUUACGGGUUCGCGGACAAACAUCAUCCCUAGCUAGCUGAGUAGCUGCACUUGGCCCAACCCCAACGUACGUGGUGGCCGAGCUAGAGCUAGAGCUAGGCAAAUGAUCCGUAUCAUUUAGUAGAAAUUAUAGUUGCUUCCGAAAGCCAUGCCGAUCUGCCACCACGACGGCACGACGUCGGUCAUGUAGAGCGUCUGGCCGCCGGUGGAGGUGACGGAGAAGGAGAGCGACUGGCCGAAGAGCGCCGAGUUGCACUGCCAGUUGGCGCCCCAGUUGCGGUUCAGCGCGACCCACCCGGUCUUGGUCCCCUUCACAGACACGGACCGGAUGGAGCCGCUGCCGGCCACGUUGGAGAACUGCACCAGCUGGAAGAAGCUGGACCCUCCGAUGGUGAUCCUGAUCCCUCCCUGCCUCCAGCACGUCACCCUGCACCACCGCCGUCGCCGUCGAUCAGUCAGUUCACCGACCGGAGAAGCAAGGCAAGACGAAACGCAACGCAACGCUGCACUCUUACUGCUGGUACAGGACGGGGAUGAUGCCGGCUCUGUAGACGCCGAUGCGCUCCCAGGCGGGCUGCGCCAUGUCGAAGUGCGGCCGCGGCGGGUUGCACCAGCCGCCGCUGUUGCUGGGCUGCGCCCAGUUGGGCGGGCAGAAGUUGGUGGCCGUGACGGUCACCGCGGCGCCGCGCCUGCACCAGGGGGACGCGUUGCUGUCGCACAUCACCAGGUAGCACUGACCGCACGCCGCGCCGUCGUUGAACAGCACCGAGCUCAGCGCCGCCGUGUUCGUCCCGUACCCGGCCUGGUACAGGUUGCCAUACCCGCACGCGCCACCUAUUAUUAUUCACACAUUAAUUGCUGGUUGAUAUAUUAGCUCGAUCGGGAAAUGUACGUAUAUGGAAAACGUAUGUAUAUAUAUUAUGGUGGCUUUGGAGUUGUUCUUUUCACUUACCCAUUGUGCCGGAGCCGUCGCGGCCGCCGUAGAACGUCGCCGUCCCGUAGUUCCAGCCCUUCGCCGGCGCGAAGAACGACGUCGCCGCCAGGACGGCGAGCAAUGCGAGGGGUCUGUCCAUCUAUAUAUCGUCUAUCUCUAUCUCUCAGUGAACAAUACAGAUACAGAGGAGGAGUAUGUAGUGGUUUCAGUAAACCAAACCAGGAGCUCAAAUGCGUAGGAUGCUCUGACAGAUUAAUUUGGGGUGAUCGUGGCGUGGCUUAUAUAGGAUCAGCGGAAUAAUGAGAAUUAUGCGCGGCGCAGGGCACGGGAAUUGCUGGGAACAUGCGAUCGAUAUCCCACUGUGCUGGGCUGCUAGCCUUGCUAGUGCUAGCUAAGCUCACAUGCGUCCAAGGCAACAAAAAUGGACGCUGAUGCGUACUGCUCAUCAGUUGACUCCUGGCUUAGGAUUUCCUACAGCAUUUUUUCUCCUGAUGAUGUGAUGACAAGAAGCAUCGAAAUUGGCAUGCGAGAUCAUAUGCAUCUCGUGCACCCCGGCUGCAUGCAUGUUCAGUAAUCCGUACUUGCCGGGGUUGAGGCGUUGAGCUGAGUUGGUGACCUACUUCUUUCUGCGUUAGUUUAUGACACAGACUAUAAUUUGGAAUAAUAAGAUACAGUAGAUCCUAGCUAGCUAAACUAUGAUUUGGAAUGUGCAUGCAUGGCCGUUCUCGCUUAUCUCUCGUGUACGUGAAAUUCGGAGAGUUCUGAUGACCCACAUGAGGCCAUGAGAGGCCAGCGGUGUCAGCACAUGGUUUAUGCCCUGGAGGUGGAUAAACAACUGAGCUAGGGUUAAUGAAGUUGCCGCGUAAACGCAGAUGCUCAGCUUAAUCAUGGCAUACCUGGUCUAGAAGAGUCAGAGGUUUAUCGACCGGCCGUACCACCACCGGAUUCUUCAGGUUUCUUUACCAUUAGCAUGGAAUCCUUUGCCAAGUUGCACACAGCUGUGGCAUUUUUAUUUGCCGACUGGCGACCGUCGUAUUUUCUUUUGGGGAAAAGGCCUACCAUGCAUAUGCUCUUUUUUUUUACUGUGAUAACAAACCAGUCUUAAGAAUGUCUUAUACUGCCCUGAUAACAUAGUCAUUUUCACCUGAACGUUGCUGAUAUGAUAUAUAUUUCACAUGAGCCAUCAAUUAGCUCUUCAUACUUCUUAUUGCGAUGAAGAAUUUUCGCGUCCCAAACAAACAAAUCGUUUACGUUCUGCUUCCAACAUUAGCUAUGCACGACGCAACGGAUAUCUAUCACAGAUGAGAUUGCCACAGAUCGAUUGUGCGAACCAGUUGCCUUGCUCAGUUGCCACAGUUCACAGUGCAUGCGCAGGGGACGGCGCAAGAAGGCUUCUCGAUUUGAACGUUUUGAGUUGCAAUCACACCUCACCUGGGUUGCCCAACUGCCAUGCAAGUGAAGCCCAUAACUUGAACCAGUACGAAUCGUUUGUCAGGUCGAUCCUAGCCCAAUCACUCUCAUGUCUCAUCCAAAGCGUACUCUUGGAGUCCAACAAGAGUUUCUUUUAAUAGAGUUAAAUACAUUAAUGGCCUCGACUUGUCAGUCAUGAGGUGCCACGUAGGUUCAAAAAUUGUUCAAAAAAACAUAGGUUCAAAAUAUUUAUAGGUCUCUAAACUUGUUAACUGAUGUAGUUAACAAGGCCUAAACUUAGGCCUUGUUUAGUUUCAAAAAAUUUUGGAAAAUCGACAUUGUAGCACUUUCGUUUGUAUUUGACAAAUAUUGUUCAAUCAUGGACUAACUAGGCUUAAAAGAUUCGUCUCGUCAAUUCCGACCAAACUGUGUAAUUAGUUUUUAGUUUCGUCUAUAUUUAAUACUCCAUGCAUGCAUCUAAAGAUUCGAUGUGACGGGAAAUCUGAAAAAUUUUGCAAAUUUUUUUGGAAACUAAACAAGGCUUAAGUUUGAUUGGUUGCCUGCCCAUCCCUGAACUUAUGGGUUUGAUUGAACCUAUGGGUUUGAUUGGUUGCCUGUGUAACUUGGGCAACAAGCCCGCAACUUAGAUGUGGGUUCCCAAGAUGGCUUAGCACAACACUAUCAUGUUUUUGGUUGCUCGCAAAUCCAUUUCUAGACAAUAUAGACCAUGGCAAUACAUCACUUAACAAGUUUAUAGAUCUAGAGAUGCAUUUUCAAAAUUCGCUGACCUAUGACACCUCUUGACAAGUUUAAGGCCGUUAAUACAUUUAACUCUUUUUAAUAUAUAAUAAGGAGUCCAAUAAGAUAUUGACAAAGCCAUGAAUAUGACGUCCAUAUCUUUUUAUUUUUUAGUAUAUGUGGCCUCCGUAUCGGAUUAGGACAACUAAUGAUCCUGCCACAAAAUGUCCAAGCCCACUUAAUUAAGAACCAAGUAAGAUGAUCAUGGAGUUAAUUACACUCGCAAACCGUGCAUAUGUGAAUUGUUAGGUUCCAUUUGGUUCUGAGUUUAGGUCCUAGACUUCACAAGUUAGUUUUUUUUUUCUAGAUUAUAAUUGCAAAAAAUCCACUAAUAAUUAACGUAUCAAGUGUAAUCUGUACCUUGUUUUCCAAAAAAAAGGACAGUGCUACGAUAUUUUUUCUUUACUCACUAGGAGUUAAUAUCCCGAACAAAUCGACACUGUUUUUUUUAGAUUUUUAAAUUAACUAAUUAACCUAGGAAAAUACUGACUGAAUUACUGAUGAGACACCGUCUCCCGAAAGAACUGGACCGCAAGAAACAGUUGAAUCAGAAUCACCCUUACCACGAAUCAUGAUUCAUGAAUUCUUCAGUCGAUCAACUGCCUAGCCGGCUCGCACUAUACACAUACCACACAAUUCAAACGGUUCCCCCAAAUUAUUUAAUUUCUUAUUUUUGGACAGUAUAAUGCCUAAAGUGUUUCUUCAAUCAGAAAGCCUUAAAUCUGCUACUAGCUGGCCCAUGUAGCAAUGUAUGGAACGGGUUGGUUCGCCGUCAGAUGGGGAACUGGACAACGGAGGUGAAGGACUGCCCGAACUUCCACCAGGCCGGCACGACGUCGGGGACGACGACGGUGCGGCCGUCGGUGGAGGUGACGCCGAAGGUGAGCGCCUGGCCGGCGAGCCCCGCGAGCGACUGCCAGUUGGCGCCCCAGUUCCUGGCCAUGGGCAUCCUGUCCGUGGCGCUCCCCUUCACCCACACCGCCUUCACCGACCCGCUGCCGGCGACGUUGGUGAUGAGCACCAGCACGAAGUAGUUGGAGCCGGUCACCGUGAACCGCACCCCUCCCUGCUUCACGCACGCCGUCCUACGCAGGCACAGCACACACCACCGGUGGUGAUCAGACACGUACACGAGAUUUUUUUUUUCUGAAGUCAAAACCGUCCAAGUAAGGUCCUGUUUACUUCCAACAAAAAUCUAAAUUUUUUCAAGAUUUUCCAUCACAUCGAAUCUUUAAACGUAUGUAUAGAGUAUUAAAUAUAGACAAAAAUAAAAACUAAUUACACAGUUUGAUCGAAAUUGUCGAGACGAAUCUUUUAAGCCUAGUUAGUCUAUAGUUGGACAAUAAUUAUCAUAAACAAACGAAAGUGUUACAGUGUCGUGAAAUUUUUCACAUCACUAACUAAACACACGGCCUAAUAAACUAUACGGUGUACCUCUGGUAGAGCACCGGCACGAUGCCGCCCUUGUACUGGGCGAUCUGGAGCCAGGCGGGCUGGGCCAUGUCGAAGUGGCGGCGGGGAGGGUUGCACCAGCCGCCGCCGCCAUCGUCGCCGGAGAGCUCGUGGUUGGGCGGGCACAGGUUGGUUUUUUCUCGACCAGGUGAAAAUCACCCGUAUUUCAUUAAGAGGAAGGGAGUUUUUUGAAAUAACACAGCGUGCCUGACAGGUAGCGGCGAGUAGCCACUUAAAACCGGCAAACAGGAAAGCAAAAAAGAACUGGAAAGAAACAAAUUGUUUCGAUUAUAGGGCAGCACUCAGAUGCGACCAGCGCGUAAGAGCUUCUCCAAGCGGUAGAAACCCAGCGGAGACCCAAACGUCAGCCUCGUGCAGGACAUCGAACACCAAGUCGCGGAAGCUUCGACUAACUCCAUUGAACGUUCUGCCGUUCCGCUCUUUCCAGAUGGACCAGGAGAUGAGAAAUGUCACGGCGUCGAACAUCGGCCUAGAGUCCAUGGGCAACGAGCCCCUUGAGCGUAGCCACCAUUGAAUCAAAGUGUCCUCUGUGGAAGCUUGGAUUGACGCCCACCCAAGAGGCGACAGGAGGGCGAACCAAAGCUGCCUGGCCACAACGCAGCCCAAGAGAAGGUGAUCUGCAUCCUCAGGUUCCUGGCAGCAUAAGACGCAGGCAUCGUCAUCCUGUAAGCCAUGACGCUUUCUCCGUUCCGCCGUCCACAAUCGCCGGUGCAAUGCGAGCCAAAAGAAGAAUUUUACUCGCGGCGGCGCCUUAACACGCCAAAGCUCCCUAGCACCAGGCAACUCGAUGGAGCCAUAGAAGAACGCACGAUAAGCCGAGGAUGCAGAGUAGGAGCCAUCGGUCGACCAUUUCCAAAUAAAACGGUCCGAGGCGAGAGGAUUGAGCUGGACCUGGCGCAAAAGCUCCCACACUCUAAGGAAUUGGCAUAGCACCGGCGUUGUGAGGGCGCCCACAAUUCCUGAUGCCCAACGGUUGUUGAGCAGCCCAUCCUUGACGCUUAGCCUUUUACAGUGGCGCGACGCCGCUGCGUACAGGGCCGGUGCGAAGUGGCAUAGUGGGCCAACCGUCGUCCAGUUAUCAGUCCAGAGCUUGGUGCUCAGUCCAUCCCCUACGACCACUGAGAUGCUGGCUGCGCUCAUUGCUUGCACAUGUUUAUCCGCUUUGGCCGGCAACGCUGCCCAGGAACGAGACGGAUCGCUGCGUCGCAGCCAUUCCCACCUCAGCCUGAGAGCGAUUCCAAAGUAACGCAUGUCGAGAACGCCCAGACCACCCAGUUGAGUUGGACGGCUGACCAUGGUCCAAGCGACUUUGCAUUUUCCACCAGAGACGGUCUCAGCCCCAACCCAGAGGAAGGCACGCCGUCUUUUGUCAAUUUGCUGUAUUGCCCACUGGGAUAGACAACAGGCGAUGCUCAGGUGUACUGGGAUGGCGGACAGUGUCACCUUCGUUAGCAAAACCCGACCAGCCGAUGUCAGCAUCCCAGCCUUCCAAGUCGGGAUCCUUGCAGCAAUGUUGUCAACCACCGCUAGCUCAUCCGCCCUCCUUAGGCGGGUUAGCGAUAACGGAAUGCCCAAGUAUCUGCAUGGGAACGAGGCAAUGACACAAGGAAACUCCUGUCGCGCCGUCUGGAUCAUUUCUUCAGAGCAUCGGAUGGGUGUGAGGGCACAUUUCUCCAUGUUCGUGACUAGCCCAGACGCCCCAGCAAACAGCGUCAAAAUCUGCCGAAAGCACCUGAGGUCCGGAAUCGUUGGCGCUAGCAGGACGACCAGAUCAUCCGCGUAUAAGGAUGCACGAUGGACGAUUGCUGUCCCUGGCAGAGGUGUUAGCAUCGCGUGUUGAUCAGCUGCCCUGAUCAGAGAAUUAAGAACCUCCAUGACGAUGACGAAAAGCAUGGGCGAGAUGGGGUCACCCUGCCUCAGUCCUCGGGCAUGUGCAAUUCUGCGACCCGGCCGCCCGUUUAGCAGCACCUUGGUGCUAGCCGUGGAGAGUAGGAUGGCGAUCCAUUCUCUCCAACGUCUGGGGAAGCCGAUGAACUGCAGGACCUCCAGGAGGAAGUUCCAGGCGACCGAAUCAAAGGCCUUAGCGAUGUCCACCUUGAGCAGAACUGCCGCAAACUUCUUAGAGUGAAGCCAUCGACAAGCCAGCUGAACCGAACGGAAGUUGUCGUGUAUGGAGCGGUCCUUAAUAAAAGCGCUUUGAUUUAGUGCCACUAUGCCCUUUAGGUACGGCGCAAGCCGGCGAGCUAGGCAUUUGGCGAAUAGUUUGCUGAAGCUGUGAAUUAGGCUUAUUGGUCUGUAAUCCUGCAGCCGAGUCGGUGACUGAGUUUUGCGCAGCAGAACCAUCUGGGCACCAUUUAGCAGAUGGAAGCUCCUGGCAUCUAGCGACCAAAGGGCGUUGAAGGCAUUGACGAUGUCAUCCUUGAUGAUUUCCCAUGCAUCCCUGUAGAAUCUGCCAGUAAACCCAUCAGGCCCUGGCGCACGGUCCAGUGGCAUUUCUCUGAUUGUUGCCCAGAUCUCAGCCUCAGAGAAGCAAGCGUCAAUGCCUGAAAGUUCCAGUUGCGGUAGCAGGUCUUGUAAGUGUAGUCCAUGGCUUCUGCUGAACGGUGUACCAAGAAUACUGUUGUAGUAAUCAAAUAUCAGAUCUUCCUUUGCCUCCUCGGCAGAGAAACAUUGUCCAUCAUGUUGGAAGAAUGGAAUGUAGCUCUUGCGCUUGCGGUGACACGCUUGCAGGUGGAAGAACUUCGUGUUCGCGUCACCCUCCUCCAGGAAACGGAUCCUGGAGCGCUGACGUGCAAUAGUUCGGGAAAGGGAAGCUAAGCCCAGCGAUUGCCUCUUCAAACCCUUACGCAAGUCAGUUUCUUGUAACGACAGCUCCCUGGUGUCCUGUGCAGCAUCGAGCUGGGCAAUCAGCUCUCAGACCAUGAACAGCUCCAACCGAACGCUGCCUAUUUUCCUCAUACUCCAGCUCUUGAGCGCUUUUGCCGUACGCCGUAGCUUGAAGUCGACCGUUCUGCAUGCGUCUAUGUUGUCCAGAUUGCACGACCAAGCCUGUUGAACAACAUCAAGAAACCCAUCCAUCUUCGGCCAGAAGCAUUCAAACCGAAAACACGGUUUGGGCCGUAGCUGCGUGUCUAACCGUAAAAGCAACGGUGCGUGGUCGGAUGAGUCAGUGGAUAGGGAGCGCAUGUGGUGAUCGGUGAACUGUUGCAUCCAGAGUAGCGAGCCGAAAGCCCGGUCGAUCCGUUCAAGAGUUGGGUGGCGCCGCUCGUUGCUCCAGGUAUACAGCCUGCCGUGCAGGUAGAGCUCUUCCAACUGAAGAUCAUCAAUGACUCGACGAAACCUCCUCAUAGAACGGAUAUUGAGGCGGUCAUUGCUCUUAUCUGCAGCCUGGUAGAUCAGAUUGAAGUCACCACAGAGAAGCAGUGGCGUCGGGCAGUCCGCGUGGAUCUCACGCAGCUCUUCGAGGAACUCAGCUUUCAGCUCAUCAUCAACCGGUCUAUAGACCGUUGCCAACGACCAGGUUGGUUGCGCUGACACCAAGGAUUGAAUGUCAACGGUGACCGAGAAGCGUCGCAUAGUUUGACGCUGCACAGACCAGAGGUCACGGCGCCAACCGAUCAGGAUUCCGCCCGCAACCCCUACGGAUGGGAGGAACACAUAAUCAAAAGAUGAUCCCAUUAAAUCACAGGCCACUGAGGACCGAAUUACAUCUAGUUUUGUUUCCACCAGGCAAACGACCGAGACGUGCUGUUGCAGGAUAAACUCACGCACAACGUCACGUCGCGCCCGAGAGUUUAGCCCACGCACGUUCCAAAUAAAGAUGUUGUGCAUUGUCAUAAUAAACAUCAAAGAUGGCGACCUUUACAAACAUGCUUAGGCGGCGCGAACGGGGUGUGAACCCCGCUGCUUCCUGCCAGAAAGUAACACCCCCAUGGCCUCCCUCUUAGAGGGGGAGAGUGGCAGCUUGAAUGCCACUUGGAACUCUUCAAAGGUCGUCGUGUCAGGAUGCUCAGUCGCAACAUCAAUGUCGAACUUUCGCAUCAUUACCUUGCGCGCCUGGUCCUCUGGCCGUGGUUCCUUGUGCCUGUACUUAGCCGCCAACCUAGCGCUGCGCUUAGGGACAAGCUCUUCAUCUGUGCGGUUGUGGGACCUGGCCAACCUGGUGGAUCGCAGGCGCGGUGGCGACAGCAGGAUCGGCUGCUCGAGCGGCUUCCUGAAGGAGUCGAUGAAGGUGUCGACGUUGAGCGGUUGGGCGGGAACCUGCUCUUCAAUCGGUGGCGCAGGCAGCACGACCAAAGAUCCGUCCUCCUGGGCUCCUCGCGGCGAAUUAGGCGCGGAACAUAAGUCUUCCGGCCCUGAGAGGUAGAGAUUCACCUCCACAGGCAGCCCACGGUCGACCGUGGAACCAUUGUCGUCAAAACGAUGCGGCCCGAAGCCAGGCAUGGAUUCCGGCCCAUAGAGCGGCCCUAGGUUUAGCUGUCUUGCCGGGGCGACCCAACUUUCGAACUCCAGGUCCAGAAUACGACCCGAGUAUCCUUGGAAGCAAAGAUUGGGGGAUCUCUUGUGAGGUAAGAUAUCAACGGUGUGUGGGCAUACCUCAGGCGCUACCGGCGUAGCGGGCAGGCCCUCGGACAAAGCCGCCUCCAUCCGCAUUGGGUCGUCCACUGGGGAGAUGACAGGAUGGGACCCGCCAAUACCCCCAGCACUGCGCAUAGCAAGCAUGUCUGGAGAGCAAGUCUCUCCCGUCAGGCGGGCAGCGGGAAUCCUGCUGCCAAAGAUGCGACAGGGCGCGCCGCCCACAGAAGCGACCGGGCACGCGACGUCCCCCACCCGGAUGACAGACUUGGCCUCCCGGGCACGGAAUGCUGGGCCCCACCCGUUACUCAGCCGCGGGUCCCCAGAGGCUCCGAAACGCGUGUUUCUCGGCCGGCGACCACCGCCACCGCUGGGCUGCUCCCCAGGGUGGUAGCCAUUGAAGUUACUGUCCCCGCUGUCACUAUCGUCGUCGCGCUGGAUGUCGUCUUCAUCGUCGGAGGACGGCGGCGGAGUAUGCCAAUCCUGGAAUUCCACAAUACGAGUGCGCACAAGAUAGCGAAGUGCGGGGACUUCCGUGUGGAUUAUCUCGUGCGGACGGAGGUAUAACGGCGAACCUCCAUCGUGGUCUUCUUCCUUCUCGGGCACGGCCAUGAUCAUCUCAUCAUGGAUAAGAUCAGGAUGUGCACACCAUGCUGCAACGAAGAGCUCACGCUCAUCCUCAGGGUCCUGGACAGCGACCGGGCUUGCCAACUCCACACGCGCACAGGAGGACCCGAGGAUCGCCUGCGCAACCUCGGCUGAAUGCGCGUGCGCCGGGAUCCCCUUCAUUCCCACUAGCACCUUGAAGCGGAACGCGCCGGCGGAAGCCAUGAACAAGCGGCUCCGACGUCUCCAUCGAAGUCGGAACGGCGCUCCCGCAGGCGUCGCAGAGGUGAGCACUCGCUCGAGGUCCACCACCGAGGAGAAUCUCACUAUGAAGUCGUCCGGUCUGGUGCGGCGCACGGACGCACGAUCCUCAGUGAUCCCAUAGAACUGCAGCAAGUGGUUGCGCACCAUCUCCGGCGAGACGAACGGGCGAUUGCCCAGCACCAAAGCGACCAAUGCCAGAGAUAGGUCGUCCUCCGCCGCUUGCAGCUGCGGCGUACGAGGGACAACCACAAGCCCCCGCAGCGGCGACCUUGCGCGGGAGCGCGGGGAUGCUGGCGGGGCCAUCGCUCGUCGCAGAAGGGAGCGAGGUGGACCUGCUGGGCGCCUAGGCGGCUCGUCCCCGCGUUGAGCCCCUCCCAAGUCUUCGUCUUCAUUAGAUGCGGCAGGCGCCCCCACCGAGGGGCCUGCAUCUUGGCGGCCAUCGCCCGCGUCCUGAGGCUGUAGCGCCGAGGAAUGCACCGCCUCCCAUACCGGCGAUCCCACACGGGGUAGUGGCUCCCCAGGCGCCGCGCGGGGGGUAGGUGGCAGGCACACUAGCGGCACGGAGGGAGAUCUGCCAGUAGAUGCCGAGCGCGCAGACACCGUGUCCGCCGACUGAGCACGGCGAGCCCUGGCAAAGCGGCGCCGAGAGCCUCCUCUUUGGCUCGAAGGGCGCCCAGGAGAGCGACCACGUUUCCCUCCAAGGUGGCCACGCUGCCUGACCGGGAGAGGGCACUCUCUAGCUUGGUGCCCCACAGACUCGCAGUUGAAGCAGCGCGGCGGCAACCGGCAGUCUGCGCGAACGUGGUCGGUGGCGAAACAGUUGAAGCACUUCCCCACCAGGUCCUGAGGCACCGGCUUCCGGGGAGAAGGGGCGCGCCGCCACCGACGACGACUCUGCACCUCGUGGAAGCCAUCCGCAUCUGGGGCCACGGACAUACGCGGCGGGUGCACCACGAGGGAUGCCAACCGGCGUGGAGGAGGUGACGACAGCCGGGCGUCGGCUGCGGGCGGCGCCAUCCAUGCCCCCCGCGGACGGCGGCGACGGCGCCUCCGAAGCCGGCGCGGCAAGAGCGAGUCCCUCCGGAGAUCCGACGGGGCGUCCGAAUCAGCCAGCGACCCAUCUGAAUCCGUGAGCUGCACCCUGUCCGCAUCAAAAGGCACCGCGAGUGGGUCAAGGGAGCUUGCCUGAAGGACUGAGCGCGCGUGGGCGGCCGCUGCUAGCGGAGGGAGUCCGAAGAGGGUAGAUCCGGCAGUGGGGCGGGCGAUAUCCUCAUCCCCAGCCGCCAUAGCUUCGUGGCGGCGAGUUGGCGACCUGGGAUCCGUCUUGAGGACGGCGGAAUGGGUGGCCGUCGGGGCCGGAAUGGCCGCCGACAGUGCUGGUGGACGUCGGGGCCGGAGUGGCCACCGACGGGGUGGGUGGACGUCGGGGCCGGAGUGGCCGCCGACGGGAAGGUGGACGUCGGGGCCGGAGCGGCGCCGGCGAAGCUCUCUCAACUCCGCGUGCGUCGGGUGAUACCUCUCCGUUAACGAGAAGUUUGCGGGCACAGGUUGGUGGCCGUGACAGUCACCGACUUCCUCCCCGGCAGGCACCACUGGGACGCGCUGUCGUCGCACGUGACCCGGUAGCACUCCCCGCACGCCGCGCCGUCGUUGAACAGCGCCGAGCUCAGCGCCGCCGUGUCCGUCCCGUACCCGGACCAGUACAGGUUCCCGUACCCGCACGCGCCGCCCAUCGUGCCGGAGACGUCGCCCCCGCCGUAGAACGUCGCCGUGCCUUUGGACCACCCGCUGUCGUCCGCCGCCGCCGGUGGCACCAACGGCCACGCCGCGGCGGCGAUGAUGAUGAGGAAAUGGAAGCGUAGUGGUCUCUGCAUCUCCAUGGACUUUUACAAGUGCGCUCGUACUAGCUUAGCUAGCUACAAAGACUGAUGAGUGACAGUGAAGAGGAGCUGUUAAAUAGGACCUGCCAAAUGCUCCACUGCGCCGGCUUGGAACUCUACUUCUCAGGGGCGCGCGGCCAUGGCAAAGCAGAACGUCUGACUAUAUGGGUGGACGGUGACACGUGUACUCGCCCGGCUUAGAAUACAUCUCGAUCGUGGAUCGGCGUCGGCGAUCGCUUUCUUUUCUUCUUCGUAGCUUGUGCCAUGGACACAUGUCAGAUCGAUCCGGUGCUUCGCCAUCUCUACUCUGUCCUGCUCAGUGCUCACCAUGCUGGAUCAGCAGUCCAGGUCAAUGACACUUGCGAUUUGCAUGUUCAUGUAGCUCUCGAGUCUCGACUAAGGCCUUAUUUAGAUCCGGAAAAUUUUUUGAUUUUUGACACUGUAAUACUUUCGUUUUUAUUUGACAAAUAUUAUUUAAUUAAGAAGUAACUAGACUUAAAAAAAUUAGCACUAUAUAAUUUAUAUUUUUUAGGAAAGUUAUCACUAUAUAAUUUUUUUAAUGUAUACUCUCUUUUUUCAAAACUAUAAGAUGAUUUGACUUGCUUAGAUAUUUAGCUUUUGCUAUGCACUUACAUACAUUGUACACUGUAUCUAGAUCUCAUUCCAUACCCGGUGCUAGGCAUCGCCACGUUGCUAGGUUCGUCGAUCGCUUAUUAGAUGCGGGCUCCGUCGCUGUUCCUUGGCGGAUCUGAGCUUUGCAGCCGCUGCUAAUCUAAGCAACUGCUACCAGAUCCGAGCCACGACCACCGCCGCAGAGCCCUGGCCAUCGUGGGAGAUCCCCUAGGGCCACUAGGGUGUGAGCGACCCUUUGUCGCUGGGAGGCGCAUCUCACCCUUGUGUUGCCACCGUCCGAAGAAAGGAGUGUGUGGGUAGGGAGAGCUAGCAGAUAGAGAGAGAAAAGAGAGAUGAAGAGAGAUGCAUGCCGCUAAGUCUAUGGGUGCAAGGAGAAAGAAGCAAGGGUCUCUUUGCUUAUAUACUACGAACCCAUUAUCUGUCAAGAUGGGUCGCACAAAAUGGUAGUGGCCUUGGCCAAACUAAGAAGAGGUCCGUCUCUGAAAAUGAUUAUUAUUUUUAUAGGCGGAUAUCUUAGAGACCAUAUCUAUAAAUUUAUUUUGUGAGAGCUAACUUUUUUACCACCAUCGUAUAUCCACCUCUAAAAAUCCUCACGUGUUUAAGAUACAAAUGAGUUUUGUGACAUGAUGGCCAAUUUUUUACCACCACCUUAAAUAAAACGUCCACAUCCGGAAAUCUCCAGGUAUUUAGCUUUUUUUAGAGAUGGCUGAGUGCCUGAGUUUUGUGACCAUCACCGUUAAUGAUUGGAUAGUCCACUCAAACAUGGAUACAAGUGCAAAACCCUCUUAAUGAGGCUAGGAUUAACAUGAGAUUUGCUCCAAAUGGUUGCCCCCUACCCCCCCCCCCCCCCAAAAAAAAAACUACUAUAGCCCAGGCAGCAGUUAGCCCAAGUGCGUCCAAAAGAGCUCCAUAUUGAGGUUAGGAUUAACAAGAGAUUUGGCCCAAAUGGUUGCCCACUACCCAAAAAAAAAAACGGUAUAGCCUAGGCACCAUUGCGCCCAUGCCGUGACACACUGAUCCUAUUGUUGUUCGUACAAGUCAGCAGCACUUCUUUUCGAAGAUAAGUCAUCAACAAUUUCACCCGAGGUAAAAAACUUCGAAAGGUAGCGUAGUCUAGUUGCCAAUAAUAGUCAAAACCUUGCACGGCCAUUUCAUUUCUACCAAAAAAAAAAAAAACUGCCGACACUAAACUCACAUGUGGUCUGUUUCUUCUCGCAAUAAACAAGCGCCAUUUUGGCACAUCCAUCGAUCAGGUCCACGCUAAUUAACCUCGUGUCCAAGCAAAGGCAGUCACGACAGAAUUAUCUCUUUUUUUUUCUUGGUUUCUUUUUCCAGCAACAAUCAUUCAUCGUAAAAGCGGCCGGCAUGGCGGGCACUAGGAGCUCGAUCAGGCCGGCCGGAGACCCAUGAAAACCUACCUCAGCCAUGCCAACCGCAUUACUACUACGCCUAGCUGCUAAAGCAUUGAGUCACUAACAUUUGCAUAGCAAUAUAAUGACGCUAAACAAGAUCAGGCCUUCUUUUUUUCUUUUUUGACAAGUUUCCAGAUGAUGCAAAAAUGAAGUGAAAAUCAUCGCGCGACGAGCAGAAAGCCGGCCGGCAUGCAUGGCGCUGCCACCGGCAUGGCGCCGCCGCUAGUAGAAAUUUUGGCCGUUGGUGAAGGUCUGGCCCAGCUGCCAGUUGGAUCCGGCGACGUUGUAGAACUCGAGGAACCUGCCGUUGGUGGCGGUGACACGGAAGGAGAUGCUCUGCCUGGUGAGGUCGCUGUUGGCCUGCCAGUUGGCGCCCCAGUUCCGGGACAUGGUGAUCCACCCCGUGGACGAGCCCUUGAUCUGCACCGCGCUGAUGGACCCCGGCCCGGCGACGUUGAAGAUGAGCACGAGCUUGAAGUACCUGUUGCCGUUGAUGGUGAAGCGCACGCCGCCGGUCCUGGAGCAGGACACCCUCUGGUAGAAGACCGGGACGAUGCCGCCGCUGUAGACGCCGAUCUUCUCCCACGACGGCUGGGACAUGUCGAAGUGCUGCCGCGGCGGGUUGCACCACCCGCCGUCGUUGCUGGGCUGGGAGUAGUCGGCCGGGCACAGGUUGGUGGCGGUGACGGUCACCGUCACGCCCGGCUUGCACCACCGGCUGUUCUGCUGGUCGCACUUCACCUGGUAGCACUCCCCGCACGCCGCGCCGCCGUUGAACAUCGCCAAGCUCAGCGCCGCCGUGUCCGUGCCGUACCCCGCCGAGUACAGGUUGCCAUACCCGCACGCGCCACCUGUACGUCGCAAUGCUAGCUGUUCAGCUGUGCAUUCACUAUAUAUAUAUAUACGCACUGCAACCGAAAAGCUAAGGGUCUUGCAUUGAUCGAUCACUCACCCAUUGUGCCGGCGGCGUUGGCCCCGCCGUAGAACGUCGCCGAGCCUCUCUGCCACCCGGCCCGGACCGUCGUCGCGGCGAGGCAGGCUGCUACGGCAGCCACGAGCAGGCGGCACAGGUCGACCUUGCGCGCCAUGUCGAUCAGUUGACAAUGGAUAGUGGGGGAGUGAGCGAGCUGGACGAUGCAACGUGCCCGCAGUGGAGGUGAUGAGUGAUGAGUGAGGGAGAGAGGGCGGUGAUCGCGGCGGUGCUUAAAUAGGAGCGCGGCGGCCGACGGGGGAGGCGGAGGCGGAGCUCAUCACACCACGCGCGCGAACCCCGACGCGCGCGCGGGCUCACUCACAUGCUCAUCAUGCAUGCCGCACCCAGACGCAGCGCCGUGCGCCUUAAAUGCCACGAUUCCUCUUUGUUUUCUCCACCUCCCGGCCGUCCUCCGUCCAAAAAAGUCUAUCGAUCUCUGGCUUCAGAAGUUCAGAGUUCGCCUCUCGUCCACUGGCAGGCAAGGCAUUUCGAAUCGAAGAAAGAUUCUUCUGCAGCUCUGCAUGCGGCCAGCCGGCGUCUCCAAUUUUCUAUGCCGGUCAGCCGUGCUUCUCUGCCAACCGCCGGUGAUCCAAGAAACCGACCAUUUAUUCAUUUUCUCUGCGCAAGUGAUCUGGCCAGUAAUGAGAAAGAUAUAGAUAGAUCGAGCAAUGCACUGAUCAGUGUUACGUUUUUAUGAUACGAUACGUACUGUACGUACGACUAAUAAACAAACAAUACAAUGAUUACGGCGGGAAAAGGUUUGAGGGAUUAGUUAUUAUUGUCUGAUGAUGAUAGUCGAUGGGAGAGGCAGCCGGGAGUGUCACGUGAACUCACGAGACUCCAGUGCGUGGAGCACAUGGGAUUACGGCCGGAUUUACGGCGAGGGGGUUGCGUGAUUACCGACGAGCGAGCGCGAGGCCGGCCGGGUCCCCGGAUCGAGGAAGCCUCACUGCCGUGAUCACGAUGGAGCCCUUGGAUCGUGCCGUUUGACGCGCUUGGUUUAACCUUAACCUAUGCCUACCUAGCCUGACAGUUAGUGGCUAGGGAAUUUAGCUGUGUAUACAGUUGGUUAGGUAGGUAACUGUAGCUUCAGCCUCUCAGGGAGUUCAGCACUGGCUAGUGGUAAGUUGAGCAGAAUAGGGUUCUCUAGAACCGCUGUUGCAUUGUCAGGUUGAUUGGAAUCUACGGAAAGGAACUUGAUAGUUACUAUUCCUUACUCCAAGUCAACUGUCACCGUACCACUAGGCUGAGGCCACCAUUAGAUUUGGACUUUUGGAGGAAGCCCCUGCUUCAGAAUGUACUUUAUUAUCUUUAGAUUCCUUUUAACUGAUGCUACGACUUGGUUUAUCUAGUGUGGUUAGAUCUUAUGGUCAAACCACUUGAUUUGAAUGAUACAGGAUACAUUUUGUUUCUAAGGUUUCCACACCUGGUGUAGAUAAGUUGAUACACAGACAGGUGAACACACUUGCACUCUCCACCACUCAUGUAUCCUGUGUCCAAUCUUCUUCUUGCACUUGCACUGAAUACUCAAAUCCAUUUGGAACCAACCAUUUCAAGCACCAAAUAGCUAUCUAACACUAUUUUAAAAAUGGAUAUUAAGCGGAUGUAUUACACUAGGAGACAACUCCAAAAGGAAUAUGCACCACCAGAGAGGCAUACAAAUCUCCUCACUUGUUUGUAGGAACAAGCCCUGAUUCAAACCCAGGGUAACAUAGGCAUAAAUAUCAACACUUCAAAUCUUAAACAGAGAUUUCAAACUCAAACAUCUACCACCCAAGGCCAGGAUCAAGGCAUUAAGCUGGAGGCUUCUUAGGAAUGCUCUAGCAACCAGUGACAGAGCACCCACAUCCUCCACCCAUAUAGACAAUAGUUAUGCAUCAAGGCCCCAAAUUUUUCAGUGUUUGACCCAGUGGCGGUGGACAAGUAAAAACAAGGUGUGGCAAAGAGUUAAGCUUGAUUAUUGGCACAAAAUAAGAAAUAACACAUGACAUAACCUGGACAAAAAGAGUGAAACAAAUUGAGAUAUGACAGGUGUCACACCUAGCCCUACCAAGUGCUCUGCCACUGAUUUGAUGAACCCAAUAUUAUGUGGCUAACAUUGUUUUGCAGAGGUAUUCACAAUUAGUCACAUCGAGGCCACAUGGUUAUCUUGACCCCAGCUUUCGGAGUUGAAGUAUUGGUGCAAGGAUAUUUGCAAAGACUGAAGACAUGUUAAUGUCUAAGUGUGUGCUAAUGUGAUGAGGCACUUAGACACACAUUGUGGGUGUUUGUUGGAAAGAACAAUCGAGACUAGUGUUGGCGUUUCUUAGCGAAACCACUAAAGAUAGAGUUUGAGUCCAUCCC